UACGGGGGGGGCAAGCGUUGUUCGGAAUUACUGGGCGUAAAGGGCGCGUAGGCGGCCCGCUAAGUCGAACGUGAAAUCCCCGAGCUCAACUCGGGAACUGCGUCCGAUACUGGCGGGCUUGAAUCCGGGAGAGGGAUGCGGAAUUCCAGGUGUAGCGGUGAAAUGCGUAGAUAUCUGGAGGAACACCGGUGGCGAAGGCGGCAUCCUGGACCGGCAUUGACACUGAGGAGCGAAAGCCAGGGGAGCAAACGGG
rnacentral:rRNA from 1 species